rnacentral:misc_RNA from 1 species
GAUGAAGAACGCAGCGAAAUGCGAUAACUAAUGUGAAUUGCAGAAUUCAGUGAAUCAUCGAGUCUUUGAACGCACAUUGCGCCCCCUGGUAUUCCGGGGGGCAUGCCUGUCCGAGCGUCAUUGCUGCCCUCAAGCACGGCUUGUGUGUUGGGCUCCGUCCCCCCGGGGACGGGCCCGAAAGGCAGCGGCGGCACCGAGUCCGGUCCUCGAGCGUAUGGGGCUUUGUCACCCGCUCUGUAGGCCCGGCCGGCGCCAGCCGACAACCCAUCAUCCUUUUCAGGUUGACCUCGGAUCAGGUAGGGAUACUCGCUGAACUUAAGCAUAUCAAUAAGCGGAGGA